rnacentral:rRNA from 1 species
GAUGAACGCUAGCGGCAGGCUUAACACAUGCAAGUCGAGGGGUAGGUUACUUCGGUAAUUGAGACCGGCGCACGGGUGCGUAACGCGUAUACAAUCUACCUUUUACAGAGGGAUAGCCCAGAGAAAUUUGGAUUAAUACCUCAUAGUAUUUUUGAAUCGCAUGAUUUGAUUAUUAAAGUUCCAACGGUAAAAGAUGAGUAUGCGUCCCAUUAGCUAGAUGGUAAGGUAACGGCUUACCAUGGCUACGAUGGGUAGGGGUCCUGAGAGGGAGAUCCCCCCACACUGGUACUGAGACACGGACCAGACUCCUACGGGAGGCAGCAGUGAGGAAUAUUGGACAAUGGGCGCAAGCCUGAUCCAGCCAUGCCGCGUGCAGGAAGAAGGUCCUAUGGAUUGUAAACUGCUUUUAUACAAGAAGAAACACUCCCUCGUGAGGGAACUUGACGGUACUGUAUGAAUAAGGACCGCUAACUCCGUGCCAGCAGCCGCGGU